GGAGAUGUAGCUCAGUGGUAGAGCACCUAACUAGCAUACAUGAGGACCUGGGUUCAAUCCUUAGCACCUUCC
rnacentral:tRNA from 1 species